ensembl:misc_RNA Metazoa_SRP Metazoan signal recognition particle RNA
GCUGGGCGUGGUGGCACAUGCCUGUAGUCCCAGCUAUUCGGGAGGCUGAGGCUGUAGGAUCUCUUGAGCCCAGGAGUUCUGGGCUGCAGUGUGCUAUGCUGAUCGUGUGUCUGCACUAAGUUCGGCAUCAAUAUGGUGACCUCCUGGGAGCGGGGGACCAUCAGGUUGCCUAAGGAGGGGUGAACCGGCCCAGGUCGGAAACAGAGCAGGUCAAAAUUCCCUCGCUGAUCAGUAGUGGGAUCGCUCCUGUGAAUAGCCACUGCACUCCAGCCUGGGUAACAUAGGGAGACCCUGUCUCU